rnacentral:rRNA from 1 species
GGGCCCGCACAAGCGGUGGAGCAUGUGGUUUAAUUCGAUGCAACGCGAAGAACCUUACCUACACUUGACAUACAGAGAACUUACCAGAGAUGGUUUGGUGCCUUCGGGAGCUCUGAUACAGGUGCUGCAUGGCUGUCGUCAGCUCGUGUUGUGAGAUGUUGGGUUAAGUCCCGCAACGAGCGCAACCCCUAUCCUUAGUUGCCAGCGAUUCGGUCGGGAACUCUAAGGAGACUGCCGGUGACAAACCGGAGGAAGGUGGGGGACGACGUCAAGUCAUCAUGGCCCUUACGGCUUGGGGCUACACACGUGCUACAAUGGCAAGUACAGAGCGGCUGCUAACCCCGCGAGGGGGAG